rnacentral:lncRNA from 1 species
AGCUAAAAAGCUAAGAGGUAAAUACUUCCAUACAAAUUUUGAAGGUUAAAGGACAGCCAUAUAAACCUGCAUACUUACAGGAUAAAUCACAUAAAGUACGUAAGUUAAAGAUGCAGCAUUCUACACUAUCAUGACCUCUCUUUAUGUUGAUUGAGGCAUAGGAUCUUCUCUCUUUAACUGAUGUAGAUGUGGUCUACACAAAUUACCGCUUCCCACAUAUUAUGGAUAGAAAUUGGAGCAGUAUCUCACUGUAUAACCAUAUUGCACCUGCAGGAAUUAAACAGAUUUAUUGCAAUUACGUGGUGAACUAUGUUCAGCCUAAUACUGAGUUAAUAAUUACUCUUAGUGUAAAGGUAAAUUGCACAUAAGGUGAUUAGGUGAAGUAUAGGGAGUCUUUAAAAAAGUUAAAUGUAACUGCACACAGAGAAGGUAAACCACUCGUAUUUACGCCAAACAUUGCUAUUAAAAAAUAUCAUGUUGAUUGGUUCAAACAUCAGCAAGCAUUACGGGGGCGUUUGGUUGAUGGUUAAUGAGCCCGGUUAACGGGAAUCGGAACCUAAUACCCAUACAUUGUGUUUGGAUUAGUAAAAUUUUUGCUUGGAAUGGGAACCUCAUUCCUUCUUGAAGGGUAAAUCAAUACCUCCACACCCUUUGGGUUACCAUUUCCCAUACCCUCCAUUCCCAUACCCCCAUUCCCAUUCCCCAUUCCCAUUCCCACCAAUCAUCCAAACACCCCCCACAUGUUAUUGGAUUAAAAUGUCUACAAUGUUGUAAAUUUUUUGUGCUCUAUUCUUUUAGCAAUUACAAUUCUGAUGCUUUUGCAUGUAAAUAAGAGGAAGGGCCAUACAUUUACGUUGCAUCCUUAUUUUUCGAAGAAGUUUUACUAAUAACAUUUGCUGGAGGAGCUUUUGCCUAGUCAUAGCUUACAUAUCAAAGAGAAGUUUGUUGAUCUCACAUCAAAAAUCUGAAGGAAGCGUCAAUUCCCCAAUAGAGUAAUCAUACUCUAUCUCCCCUAACAAAGUGAGAUCCAAAUUAUUAACACACUACCUUUCUCUAAAUACUAAAUUUAAACUUAUCAAACUUAACCAAUGUAAAAACACACAUCUUAGACUGAAAUGAACUUAAAAAUCCAACAAAGUAAGAAAUUAGUAAAUUAAAUGUCAGAACAUAUCACAUCAAACUUGAACAAGAACCCUUGCAUAAAAUCGAAAAAACUUUCUUUCUUUCCUAGUUACAGUAAAUUGGGUCUCAAAACUUUAUCAAAAAGUAAAAAUUACUGCUACUACUAUCACAGCUACUAAAAGACAGUAAAAAGUAAAGAAAGGAUUAAAAUAAGUACCUGGGGGCUAAUGGGUAAAAAACUUGUAAAGAAAGAAGAAUAGAAAGAGGAAGAAGAUGAGAAGGAAGACAUAAUCAAGAAACAAGAAGAAUUUAGUUGACCCGUGAUUUCUUUUUCGGGUUUUUAUAUUUUUCUUGGAUGGUUCAUAUUCAUCAUCACCGUUGUAUGCUUCAAUUUUCGCCAUUCUGAUUCCGAUUUGCUCGCUGCAAAUCUGGCAGAUCUUCUUUUGCGCUGCUGGGCAGUGGGCACUACCGGUGGAGAAUAAUGUGGUGGGCUGGGCCCAUUCGUCACUUUGCUUUGUGGGCUCUUUGACGCCCACUUCAAGGAACAAAGCAAUCCGAUAUUUCAACAUUGUUUUAUGUUUUAAGAAUUUAUAUUUUAUAUUUCAUUUAUAUUAAUUAAUUAAAAAACAUUUGCAUAUGUUUGAUGUUAAU